UGCCGGCGAUCGUUCCGGAGCGACUCUCAGUUGUCCCAGGAGAGUAAGUGGUUGACUGACUUACCUGGAGGACAUCUUUUGGGGUAAGAUAUGAAUGGACUUAAAGAAGUCAAAUACCAUCUACCAAUAGUGAGGAAUAAAUUGUGUUCAAAUGGCAGGACUGAUUAAAAACCACAUUCCCCUUUUCUCAAUGUCAAAGCUGCAUACGUAUACCAGUGGGUGCCAGAGAAGAUACUGCAGCACUGACUUAGUAACAAGGGGGACUACAUUGGAAUCAGCAUCAAAAAUCAACUCAGCUCUUUCAAUUCGCUGGAAAUAUGGAAGAAAGUCAAAACUGAGCAAGAUCUUCAAAAGUGUUUUUGCUGUCUGUCAGGAUACAAAAAGAUUUAGUCUGCCUUCUCACAUGUUUUCUCUACCUUAUUCUCACUGAGAUAUUUAUCAAGUUAAUUGUUUUUAAAAGUAAGAAUCCCUUGUCAGUGUCUCCUUCAUCACUUGUUUAUGUCAUCAGUAUCCUCCUCCCAUUUAGAAAUAUUCCAUCUUAACUCCCCCCAUCAGUUGACUGUAACUCUCUCCCACCUCUUGGAAGAAACAUGCACAGAACAGACUAUUAACUCCAAAGCAGAAUGCUAUGUAAAGUAACGUGAAUAUUUUAUACUUGCUAUAAUCUAUGGGGGGAGAAAAUCAGAGACCAAAAAUAACCAUGACAAAGACUAGCUGUAGCAACUAUCUGUGCCUGCAUCAUAAGAAAUUCUGGAGCAACAUUUCUGAAAUAGAGCACAUUUCAACGUGUUCUAUCUCAGAAAUAUCAGAAAUAUUAAUUAAAAAAAAUUAAUACAAUUUAUAUCCUUCCCAAAUAUUUCACAUAUGUUAAUCCCUGCCUCCCUUCCCCCUCCCACCCCACACGUCUGGUCUGUGCCUCUCAGCAGGUUAACCCUUUCAGACAAGCCUCAAUAUAUAAGAGCCUAUCUGGAGUACCAGAAUAUACAAAAAGAUGCAUGCUAGUUUGCUUUGUACAUUAAGAAGCUUAAAUUCAUUCUGAAGUAGACUCUGCUCUCCCAGUUUAGGUAGACACGCUCCAAAGAUUCAUUUCAUUUCCAAAAUGAAAUAGGAUACUCAAAAUCAUCCCAGACACAAGUCUAAACACUGAACUUGGAGGUUUAGCCCAUCUGCUACCCAGACAGUUGAGUUGCUAAGGUAAUUAUUUAAAUUAAGCAACAAAGACUUCCUAUGAAGAGAACAUUGCUGCGUUUAGGUCUCAUGUGGGAUCAGUAAGAUUUUAUUCCAUUGCAUAAAGAUUUUAAGGAAAACUUAUUUCACUAGGGUUUCACUGGUGGCCAAAUUUAGGACUCAACAAACUUAUAUAAUCAGGUUAGUGCUCAGCUCAGACUAGUCUAGCCUGCAGGCAAGAAAAGACAGGAGGCAGAUAGGCUAUUCCCGAUUCCAUAUAUAACCUGGAGAGGUACCGAAGUACUUUAAUUCAUGUAUCUUAAGACCAUUAAAACUCUACCUGGUAAUCAGUUACAGUAUGAUACUUCCAUAACAUGAU